rnacentral:sRNA from 1 species
UGUGUAUCCCUCCUGAAGUUGUAUCCUCAGUUGAAGAGGGCAAUCUUCCAUGAAUAGAGGAGGAUCAGUCUUCAGUCAAGUGUGUAUGAGUAGCUGUGCUCCCCUGGUAGAACCUCCAAACAAGCUCUCAAGAGUUCUAAGUCCUGCUAGCUUCCAGUAUUUGUAAAUAAAGUUUUAUUCUAACACAGUUGUGUUCAUUUGUUUAUGUAA